rnacentral:rRNA from 1 species
AUUGAACGCUGGCGGCAUGCCUUACACAUGCAAGUCGAACGGCAGCACGGGAGCAAUCCUGGUGGCGAGUGGCGAACGGGUGAGUAAUACAUCGGAACGUGUCCAGUAGUGGGGGAUAGCCCGGCGAAAGCCGGAUUAAUACCGCAUACGACCUACGGGUGAAAGCGGGGAGUCGCAAGACCUCGCGCUAUCGGAGCGGCCGAUGUCAGAUUAGCUAGUGGUGGGGUAAAGGCCUACCAAGGCGACGAUCUGUAGCUGGUCUGAGAGGACGACCAGCCACACUGGGACUGAGACACGGCCCAGACUCCUACGGGAGGCAGCAGUGGGGAAUUUUGACAAUGGGCGCAAGCCUGAUCCAGCCAUGCCGCGUGCGGGAAGAAGGCC